rnacentral:rRNA from 1 species
ACACCUGCGCCACAAGUGGCAUUCACGAUUAUUGGGCCUAAAGCGUUCGUAGCCGGAUAUGUCAGUCUUGAGUGAAAUCGUUGCGCUUAACAAAACGACGUGCUUGAGAUACUGCAGAUCUAGGGACCGGGAAGAGUGUGGGGUAUUCCUGAGGGAGCGGUAAAAUGCUAUAAUCUCAGGAGGACCACCUGUGGCGAAGGCGCCACACUAGAACGGAUCCGACGGUGAGGAACGAAAGCUAGGGGAGCAAACCGGAUUAGAAACCCGAGUAGUCC